rnacentral:rRNA from 1 species
GGGCCCGCACAAGCGGUGGAGCAUGUGGUUUAAUUCGAUGCAACGCGAAGAACCUUACCUACACUUGACAUGCUGAGAAGUUACUAGAGAUAGUUUCGUGCCUUCGGGAACUCAGACACAGGUGCUGCAUGGCUGUCGUCAGCUCGUGUCGUGAGAUGUUGGGUUAAGUCCCGCAACGAGCGCAACCCUUGUCCUUAGUUGCCAGCCUUAAGUUGGGCACUCUAAGGAGACUGCCGGUGACAAACCGGAGGAAGUGGGGACGACGUCAAGUCAUCAUGGCCCUUACGUGUAGGGCUACACACGUGCUACAAUGGCAUUUACAGAGGGAAGCGAGACAGUGAUGUGAGCG